UAGGGAAUCUUCCGCAAUGGACGAAAGUCUGACGGAGCAACGCCGCGUGAGUGAUGAAGGUUUUCGGAUCGUAAAACUCUGUUGUUAGGGAAGAACAAGUCGUAUUCAAAUAGGAUGCGACCUUGACGGUACCUAAUUAGAAAGCCACGGCUAACUACGUGCCAGCAGCCGCGGUAAUACGUAGGUGGCAAGCGUUAUCCGGAAUUAUUGGGCGUAAAGCGCGCGCAGGCGGUCUUUUAAGUCUGAUGUUAAAGCCCACGGCUCAACCGUGGUUCGCAUUGGAAACUGGGAGACUUGAGUAUUGAAGAGGAAAGUGGAAUACCACGUGUAGCGGUGAAAUGCGUAGAGAUGUGGUGGAACACCAGUGGCGAAGGCGACUUUCUGGUCAAAUACUGACGCU
rnacentral:rRNA from 1 species